rnacentral:rRNA from 1 species
GACGAGCGCUGGCGGCGUGCUUAACACAUGCAAGUCGAGCGAUGAAACACCUUCGGGUGCGGAUUAGCGGCGAACGGGUGAGGAACACGUGAGGAAUCUGCCUUCCACUCUGGGAUAACUCCGGGAAACCGGGGCUAAUACCGGAUACUUUCAACUGGCGGCAUCGCCGGUUGAAGAAAGUUUUUCGGUGGAAGAUGACCUCGCGGCCUAUCAGCUUGUUGGUGAGGUAAAGGCUCACCAAGGCGACGACGGGUAGCCGGCCUGAGAGGGCGACCGGCCACACUGGGACUGAGACACGGCCCAGACACCUACGGGAGGCAGCAGUGGGGAAUAUUGGGCAAUGGAGGAAACUCUGACCCAGCGACGCCGCGUGAGGGAUGAAGGCCUUCGGGUUGUAAACCUCUUUCAGCACGGAAUAAGCGAAAGUGAAGGUACCUGCAGAAGAAGCACCGGCUAACUAUGUGCCAGCAGCCGCGGUAA